rnacentral:rRNA from 1 species
GAGUUUGAUCGUGGCUCAGGACGAACGCUGGCGGCGUGCCUAACACAUGCAAGUCGAGCGGGGAUUGUGGAAGAGCUUGCUCGGAAACAAUUCUAGCGGCGGACGGGUGAGUAACGCGUGAGCAACCUGCCUCAAACAGGGGGAUAACGCAUCGAAAGAUGUGCUAAUACCGCGUAAGACCACAGCAUCACAUGGUGCAGGGGUCAAAGGAGCAAUCCGGUUUGAGAUGGGCUCGCGUCCGAUUAGCUAGUUGGUGAGAUAACAGCCCACCAAGGCGACGAUCGGUAGCCGACCUGAGAGGGUGAUCGGCCACAUUGGAACUGAGAAACGGUCCAGACUCCUACGGGAGGCAGCAGUGGGGAAUAUUGGGCAAUGGGCGAAAGCCUGACCCAGCAACGCCGCGUGAGGGA